AUUAAUCUUCGGGGCAGGGUGAAAUUCCCGACCGACGGUGAUGGGACAAUGUGUCCCAAAGUCCGUGACCCGCGUGAUUGUUCAUGCGGUUGACACAGUGAGAAUCUGUGACCGACAGUUAAAGUCUGGAUGGGAGAAGAGAUAG
rnacentral:ncRNA from 1 species